rnacentral:rRNA from 1 species
CGUAGGGUGCAAGCGUUAAUCGGAAUUACUGGGCGUAAAGCGUGCGCAGGCGGUUUGUUAAGAUAGGCGUGAAAUCCCCGGGCUCAACCUGGGAACUGCGCUUAUGACUGGCAAGCUAGAGUACGGCAGAGGGGGUGGAAUUCCACGUGUAGCAGUGAAAUGCGUAGAGAUGUGGAGGAACACCAAUGGCGAAGGCAGCCCCCUGGGUCGAUACUGACGCUCAUGCACGAAAGCGUGGGUAGCAAACAGGAUUAGAUACCCUGGUAGUCCACGCCCUAAACGAUGUCAACUAGGUGUUGGGAGGGUAAAACCUUUUAGUACCGGAGCUAACGCGUGAAGUUGACCGCCUGGGGAGUACGGCGCAAGGUUG